CCCCAGUCGACCCCACCACACUACAACUGGUGACUACUCAUACCAUACAAGCCACACGACCAAGGGGACGAAUCUCCGGAGAAGGGAACAGCCGACCCGCAGAGGCGCAAUACUGACCACAAAACAUGCACACUACCAGUGUAAACCUCACCACACUACAGAAACCAAAGAGGUGCAGCAACAUCCCGCAUACACUGGCCACUACGGGGGAAUGAAUGAUACUCCUACCCCCGACCAAUAGUGAUCACACAUAGAUCAAACCUGGACAGGACACCAGGAAUCCACCACCCCCUCAGGAAAGGGACAUGGUGCACCCCUCACACAGAGGGAGCACUUCCAUCCAGGAGUAACCCCGGGCACCCAG